GGGCUAGUGGUCUAGUGGCAUGAUACCCUCUCAGGGUGGGGGUGGUCCCGAGUUCGAUUCUCGGCUGGCCCC
rnacentral:tRNA from 1 species